rnacentral:lncRNA from 1 species
UAGAAGGAGAACUUUUCGGGACAAGUGUUAGUUUGUCACUUGUGUUUGCCUCAUCGUGAGGUUGUUCUCUCGAUAUUUUGUACUCUCUUUUUAUAUAGUGGAUUGCUUAUCUCCGCCUGUAGAUGUAGGUCAAUUGACCGAACCAUGUUAAAUGUUUGUGUCUCUUUUGGUAUAUUUCUCUUUUGUUAUCUGAUUUAUCGUUACAUUGUUCAAUGUUUGCUUUGUUAGCUUCCGCAUGACACUUGAUUUUUUCUAUCCUAAUAAGUGGUAUCAGAGUGAGGUUCAAGUCAAGUUCAUCUUUGGGAGGUUUAGUUCUAGCCGCAACCUAUUUGAUGAUAAUCAUGAUUUUUAUCUGAGAAAUUUUACCGGAAUGCUACUCACGUUGAGACAAACUUUGUGGUGGAGAUUUGGAGAUGCGACCUAUUGAAGAAUAUGUGAAAAAGGUAGAUCAAGUUUAUUUUGUCAGAAAAUUCAGGCCAGGGGAAAGAAUUAUUAGGUGUUUGUCUAGAUUUUCUUACCAUAUUUGAUUUUCCUAUCUCUUGAAGGAGAGGGCAACAUAUUUACUAUAAUUGAGUUUUUCUUUUCGUAAAAGUAAUUAUAAAUCUCCCAUAUUUGGCUAGUCCCUUUUCUUGGAGGAAAAAGUUUGAACUUCUAUAAAUUGAGGAUCCUUCCUUCUCAUUUAGUACAUCCACAAUGUAACCAUAAGGAAUUUGAGAGUCUUGUUUAGAAGAAGAACUUUUCGGGACAAGUGUUAGUUUGUCACUUGUGUUUGCCUCAUCGUGAGGUUAUUCUCUCGAUAUUUUAUACUCUCUUUUUAUAUAGUGGAUUGCUUAUCUCCGCCAGUAGAUGUAGGUCAAUUGACCGAACCAUGUUAAAUGUUUGUGUCUCUUUUGGUAUAUUUCUCUUUUGUUAUUUGAUUUUUCGUUACGUUGUUCAAUGUUUGCUUUGCUAGCUUCCGCAUGACACUUGAUUUUUUCGAUCAUAACAAGUGGUAUCAGAGCGAGGUUCAAGACAGGUUCAUCUUUGGGAGGUUUAGUUCUAGCCGCAGCCUAUUUGAUUAUAAUCCUGAUUUUUGUCUGAGAAAUUUUACCGAAGUGCUACUCACGUUGAGACAAACUUUGUGGUGGAAAUUUGGAGAUGCGACUUAUUAAAGAUUAUGUGAAAAAGGCAGAUCAAGUUUAUUUUGUCAGAAAAUUCAGACCAAGGGGAAGAAUUAUUAGGUGUUUGUCUAGAUUUUCUUACCAUAUUUGAUUUUCCUAUCUCUUGAAGGAGAAGGCAACAUAUUUACUCUAAUUGAGUUUUUCUUUUCGUAAAAGAAAUUAUAAAUCUCCCAUAUUUGGCUAGUCUCUUUUCUUGGAAGAAAAAGUUUGGACUUCUAUAAAUUGAGGAUCAUUCCUUCUCAUUUAGUACAUCUAUAAUGUAACCAUAAGGGAUUUGAGAGUCUUGUUUAGAAGGAGAAUUUUUCGGGACAAGUGUUAGUUUGUCGCUUGUGUUUUCCUCAUCGUGAGGUUGUUUUCUUGAUAUUUUGUACUCUCUUUUUAUAUAGUGGAUUGCUCAUCUCCGCCCAUAGAUGUAGGUCAAUUGAUCGAACCAUGUUAAAUAUUUGUGUCUAUUUUGGUAUAUUUCUCUUUUAUUAUCUGAUUUAUCGUUACAUUGUUCAAGGUUUGCUUUGUUAGCUUCNNNNNNNNNACACUUGAUUUAUUCGAUCCUAAUAAGUGGUAUCAGAGCGAGGUUCAAGACAGGUUUAUCUUUGGGAGGUUUAGUUCUAGCCGCAGCCUAUUUGAUGAUAAUCAUGAUUUUUGUCUGAAAAAUUUUACCGGAGUGCUACUCACAUCGAGACAAACUUUGUGCUAGAGAUUUGGAGAUGCGACCUGUUAAAGAUUAUGUGAAAAAGGUAGAUCAAGUUUAUUUUGUCAGAAAAUCCAGCCCGAGGGGAAGAAUUAUUAGGUGUUUGUCUAUAUUUUCUUACCAUAUUUGAUUUUCCUAUCUCUUGAAGGAGAGGGCAACAUAUUUACUAUAAUUGAGUUUUUCUAUUCGUAAAAGAAAUUAUAAAUCUCCCAUAUUUGGCUAGUCUCUUUUCUUGGAGGAAAAAGUUUGGACUUCUAUAAAUUGAGGAUCCUUCCUUCUCAUUUAGUACAUCCACAAUGUAACCAUAAGGAAUUUGAGAGUCUUGUUUAGAAGGAGAACUUUUUGGGACAAGUUUUAGUUUGUCACUUGUGUUUGCCUCAUCGUGAGGUUGUUCUCUCGAUAUUUUGUACUCUCUUUUUAUAUAGUGGAUUGCUCAUCUCCGUCCGUGGAUGUAGGUCAAU